rnacentral:rRNA from 1 species
CACGUAGGGUGCGAGCGUUGUCCGGAAUUAUUGGGCGUAAAGAGCUCGUAGGCGGUGUGUCGCGUCGGCCGUGAAAACCUGCAGCUUAACUGUGGGCUUGCGGUCGAUACGGGCAUCACUGGAGUUCGGCAGGGGGAGACUGGAAUUCCUGGUGUAGCGGUGAAAUGCGCAGAUAUCAGGAGGAACACCGGUGGCGAAGGCGGUCUCUGGGCCGAUACUGACGCUGAGGAGCGAAAGCGUGGGGAGCGAACAGGAUUAGAACCUCGUGUCAGUCCAAG